CACAGACACUAGCCACAGCUCUCCCAGAGCACUACCGUCUAAAGCAGACGUAAAGUCUGCAUUCACUGAUAAUGGAUACAUCUACAAAGCACAGUGAUGGAAGGGAAACAUUUAUUCACUCUUGGUAUUUUUAGUGACGAAAGCUUGUUAACGUGUGCACUAAGUAUAUUGAACGGAUUUUUUUUUUUUCAUCCGAAGCCCCGAUGCGUUAAUCUGAAGUCUGUCUUCCUUUUGUUGAAUGUAAAAGCUUUCUUUUUUAAGGUUUCGCCGGAAGACCCACAAGGCAGCAGGUGUAUCGUUACGCUGCCAAAGGAGGAAGACGGGGUUGAUGGGUGCUGCAGCUUGCCCAAGGGCGACGUGGGACUAUGCAAAAGCGUGAUAGGAUGCAAGUUACCGAUAUUACGUUUAUCUUUUUAUUAAAUUACCUGGC